CCUAUGGGUGGCAGCAGUGGGGAAUAUUGGACAAUGGGGGGAACCCUGAUCCAGCCAUGCCGCGUGUGUGAAGAAGGCCCUCGGGUUGUAAAGCACUUUCAGUGAGGAAGAACGCCUGGUGGUUAAUACCCAUCAGGAAAGACAUCACUCACAGAAGAAGCACCGGCUAACUCCGUGCCAGCAGCCGCGGUAAUACGGAGGGUGCGAGCGUUAAUCGGAAUUACUGGGCGUAAAGCGCGCGUAGGUGGCUUGAUAAGCCGGUUGUGAAAGCCCCGGGCUCAACCUGGGAACGGCAUCCGGAACUGUCAAGCUAGAGUGCAGGAGAGGAAGGUAGAAUUCCCGGUGUAGCGGUGAAAUGCGUAGAGAUCGGGAGAAAUACCAGUGGCGAAGGCGGCCUUCUGGACUGACACUGACACUGAGGUGCGAAAGCGUGGGUAGCAAACAGGAUUAGAUACCCUAGUAGUC
rnacentral:rRNA from 1 species